CUUUGAUUUGACAUUUUAUUUUUUCAAAUUUUCUCCAUUUCUAAUAUGUCAUCUUCCCCUGUUUUGAUUUUACCCUCGCCCCCACCCUCACCCCGUUUCUUCUUCCUCAUAUUUUCGAAUUAAAAAAAUCCUAAAAAUCUCUUUUUUAAAAUUAUAUUUUAUCUGGGUGGGGAGAAAAAAUUGAUUUCUUUGUAUUGUCGAAAAUGAGGUGGGAAAAGGUUGAGGUGAAGGCGAUAGGCAUAGAGGGUGGUGGAGGUGGAAAUGAGGUGUAUGGACCAGGGAAAAGGUGGGGUCACACCUGCAACGCCGUCAAAGGUGGCAGACUUGUCUAUGUCUUCGGUGGUUACGGCAAAGAUAACUGUCAGACCAACCAAGUUCAUGUCUUUGACACUGUGAAGCAGACUUGGAGCCAACCCACUGUAAAAGGCUCCCCACCUACUCCUAGAGACAGCCACACUUGCACAGCCAUUGGUGAUAAUCUGUUUGUGUUUGGGGGUACGGAUGGGAUGAACCCUCUCAAGGAUUUGCACAUACUGGACACUUCAUUGCAUACAUGGGUUUCUCCCACCAUAAGAGGAGAAGGGCCACCAGCACGUGAGGGUCAUAGUGCAGCAGUUGUUGGAAAACGCCUAUUCAUCUUUGGUGGUUGUGGAAAAUCUGCAGAUAGUAAUAAUGAGGUCUACUACAAUGAUCUUUACAUACUAAAUACAGAGACAUUUGUCUGGAAGUGUGCUACAACAUCGGGCACUCCACCAUCUCCUCGUGAUAGCCACUCUUGUUCAUCUUGGAAAAAUAAAAUUAUUGUAAUAGGAGGUGAAGAUGGACAUGAUUAUUACUUGUCUGAUGUCCAUAUCCUUGAUACUGAUACUUUAAUCUGGAGGGAGCUAAGUACAUCAGGCCAAUUGUUGCCUCCUCGAGCUGGUCAUUCAACUGUUUCUUUUGGCAAGAACUUGUUCGUUUUUGGGGGAUUUACAGAUGCCCAAAAUCUAUAUAAUGACCUCUAUAUGCUUGAUAUUGACACUGGUGCUUGGACAAAUGUUACAUCUGCAACCAAUGGUCCUUCUGCUAGAUUUUCUGUGGCUGGUGACUGUUUAGACCCUUUUAAGGGGGGUGUUCUUGUGUUCAUAGGUGGUUGUAAUAAAAGUCUUGAGGCCCUGGAUGAUAUGUAUUACCUAUAUACAGGGAUUGCUCGGGAAAGUGAACAGAGACCAGAGAAGUUAUCUUUAAGGAAGCAAUUGAAAUUGAAGUGCCAAGAACAAAAUCCCAAUCCUAGCCAAAAUCAAGUUCUAGCAAGAUAUGGUGUGGGUUCUGAUAUGGGCCAGAUCAUGUCAGUGUUGAAUUAUGGCCAGCAAAGUAGGCUAAAUAUCCCAGUAAACCAUUCCCUACCUCCUGGAAAGAAAAUGUUUGAAGCCAAGGUCACUGAAAACAUCUCAGAAGGAUAUACUAUUGAAACUGUUAUUGAUGGAAAGCCUCUUCGUGGAAUACUGUUUUUAAACAAGCCAAAUUCUCUGUACUCAGCUGCUCAUACUCCCAGUAGCAGGAAAAGGACUCUUGGUGAGAUUGAUAGUGUUCUCUCGAAUGGUAUACACUCUAACCAAUUAAAGACUCCUAAAGUACUCAAGCAAAAUCAAAUGGAAAACCAAGAAGCAUUUUGUGGAGACAGUUCAGAGUCUCAUGAACACCGCACUGAAUCCAUUGCAGUGGUAAUGUCAAGUAACCCAGUGACUGCCAAUGCUCCUAAUACCCAUAAGGUUUCGGCCAACCUAGAACCAGAAGCAUCUGCUUUGAAUCAAAAUGAUGAAAAACAUGAAACACCCAUAUCCUUAAGUGAAGACUUGAAAAAAGAUGGCGCAAAUGAUGUGAUAUGUUCCAAAGAUGAGGUGCAAACAAAUGAUCAAACAAAUGGGCCAAUUUCCAACUUUGAACUUACAAGACAUGAUACAAAAUUUGAUGCUCCAAAUUACAACACUGAAUUUCAGAAACCUGCUGCAUCUGAAAGUGUUUUGUGCCUGUCAAAUCAAGUGACUUCGUAAGAAUGUUUACUGGGCUUCACGGUGUAAAUCAUCUUAUUUUGGUGAGAAAUGAGAAGAAACAGCAUUGACUUGUGUGCAGUGGUGGAUUCCACAACUCCAACAAGAGAAUGCAGCGAAGCAGCAACAUUAAUUUGAACACAGAAGAUAAUGGCUGGUGAUAAUUUUGUCUGCUAGGCAUUUGUACAUUCCUCUUCUCAAGGUGAUCGUAGAGGUCAAUAUAAACUGACUGGUGAUAUAGGCUAACAUUGACAUCCUGUGGUCUGAACUUUUAAUUGAACAAAACCUUUAUUACUUUUAGGUUUAGGUAGUCAUAGAAGCAGUUCUAUUUUACUGAGUUAUCUAUUUACCGUCAUGCCUGCCUUCAUUUAUUGCAUGGAAAGCAAAUUUUGUUUCAUUGGUGCCUGGGCAUCAACAUUAUUUCCAAAUGCAGCUUUUACCUAUUAAAUGCAAAUUUCGACAGUUACUCUA